rnacentral:rRNA from 1 species
AUGCUCCAGUGGCAAGUUGAGAGUGGAGAUAUGGCUAAGCCUGACACCUCAGGAACACCCGCAGCUUUUCUUUUCCUGACAUGCAAAAGUGAGGAAAAUGACGUUUCGCUCAUGCAUGCAUGGUGCCGAAUUUCCAUUGAGUUCAUUGCACUUCAGACUACUGGCGGGUCCUUUUCCACUUCAGAUUACGAAAACUCGGCCAGUUUGCAUGAACGGAGUCACACAUUACUUGUCAGUUUGCACCAGGAAAUAACCUUGGACAGAAAGGUUAUUCGAAUGCAACCACAACGUGAUUUGCCGGCCCAAAGAACAGGGCCGAAUUUCAUAUAG